rnacentral:snRNA from 1 species
UAAGUAUUAGGUGAAUUAUGGAGAAUUGGAACGAUUUAGAGAAGAUUAGCGUGUGUGGCUUUUCGCAAGGAUGACACGAAAAAUCUUGAAACGUUGGUCAUUUUU